AUACACUUGCUUCUUUGCAUCGAGCAGCGAUGGCAUUCUCCGUUGUCCAUCGCAAGACCUGCAGUGUCCAGGACUCAGGUUGCAGUCUUUCUGCUAGGCUUGUGAUCACCGGAGUUGAGAUGAAGCGAGCUGGUGAGCCAGGGACAGCAUCUAGCUAGGCGCUAGCUGCUUUGCGAUCUGCACUUCCGCAUGGUUUGGUUAGGCGUUGGGGACCAGGAGGAUUGGAGGAAGGAUCAGCGAUCAAGUGUACGGAGCAAAGAUCUGCAGCGGAGAUUAUGGAUGGAUUGAAUGGAACACGGUUACAGGUACUCACGUUAUCAGGAACAGGAAGGAUCUGCCAUCGUUCAGGGAGGAACAGAUCAGGAUGAAGAUAAACACAGGGGUACGGUGCAGCGCGUGCCUCGGCAGUGUUGCAUACUUCUACGUAUAUGUCUGGGAUUAACGGAGGAGCAAAAAGGAUGUCGGGAACUCGGGUUGCUGUUGGACCUGGACAAUGGUUGAGUGAGUUAUGUGCCGAAGUGACGAAGAGGUGCUAACGUGCCAUGUCUACAAGGAUGGCAGCCUGACAGGCCCACAGGGUAUAUCUGCCUGGUACGUUUUUACUGAACAAUAUCUUUAUUGCAAUCUUUUUCUAGCGUACUGUUUAUUCCUUAUUAUGGUAACUAUAACUAUGUGGGUCUAGCUACCUUUGCCCUUAUUAUUGUGCCCUGUAUAUUGAACUUAGCUUGGCCUGACCAUCGGGACCGUGAAUUUGAGAUCCACGAUUGUGCGCUCCGCUAAGUCAUGCAAAUUUUCACUAAAAAUUCAAAUCUUGAUUAAAUUUUAAUAUUAUUGGCACCCCUAACAAGGUAAAAAUUGAGUUCCCCGCUCCGCCACUGCUUUGUGGUGAUGUCAUUGAAGCGUCGUAAGCAAAUACAGCGGAGUUCAAAGUUUGAGGUUCGAAAGUUGAGGGAAGGUUAGAGGGCUGGGGACGGGAGGUGAGGGCGCCACCGAUUGAACAGCAGAGGACGGCCAAUGCCAAGGGUGGAUAGUGGGGGUGAUACCUAAAACUUGUUUUAGGUAUAGGAGAGAGAAGAUUUAGGUAAUAAUUUUGUGCUUCUCUCCAACAGCAUACCUAAAAUUGGAUAUUUAUAUUUCCUUCAGGGACUAAAAUGUAAACAUAAUCUUUUUUCUAGGAUCGAUCUGCAAAAUUGACUCAUCUUCUUCCCCAACCUCUCUUCUCCCCCCCCCCUCUCCUUCAUCCUGCUGCUCUCCCUGCGCUGCUGCUCCUCCACUGCCCUCCGCUUAAGUCGGCGGUGGGCCCCGCUCCUCCACUCGAAUCCACGCGUCUCGCCGCUGAGAAUCGACACCGGUCGCGCUCCUCCGCCUUGCCCGACCACUUCGGGACGGGCGGCACACAUCUGGCGUGCGCGCGGGCCGCACAACGAGGAGGGCAGUGGGCGAUGGGAGGUGAGGUCCAGCCGAGGCACGGUGACGGACGGAGCUCGAUCUCCAACCGUGUUAGGAUGGGCGGCGCUCCUCCGAGCUCAGGCGCAAGACAAAGCUGCGAGCUGCGGGAGAGCCAAAGCCGGUCGCGGGCGGGCCGCACCUAGCCACGGGUAUGCCGUAGCCAGCCAUUGACGGACAGGUUGAGAGCCCUAGGUGUUGCGGCUUCUUCUAUUUCUGGCGGAGGGGCCAGCCAAAGCCGUAGUGGGGCGGGCGGCGGGUGGCAUAGGGGUAGUUGGAAGGGAGCUAGGCCCUUUCCAUGGUGGUGCCGGCAGCUGGACACGUGAAGGAAGGUGGUGGAGCGGGGAUGGCGCGGCGGCGGCUCGAGCGGGAAAUGUGCAGCACGUGGUGGUUGUUGUUUCCCGCUGUAGAUUCCAAGUUUUAGCAAUCAGUAUUGGAUUGGUAUAUUUGGGUCAUAGAGAGAGGAAUUUAGGUUAUGACUAAAAUAGCAAUCCAUAUAGGUAUGUUGUUGGAGCAAAUUUUUCUGAUUGUUUUUAGGUAUUCUUGCACUUUUUAGGUAUAACAAUCCGGUUAAGGUAAGCUGUUGGAAAUGCUCUUAAGAAUGGGAUAAAGGGUAGGCAGAAUAGCACUGAGCGGCGCAGACACCGGCGGGGUGAGAGGUUGGCAAAAUUUGUUGUUGUUGAUUAGAUGCCUAAAUUAGACUAGACAGUUGGCAUGCACGGUUUAGAAAGAUCCAGUCCCAAUAAAAUAAGUUAUUUCAGGAUUAGAAUUUGUCAAAAACAAAUUGUUUUACUGUGCAUACGCAUGCGUCAAACAUAGUUAAUAAAAAGGGUAAAAAAAAUAUAUCAUUUUAUCAUAUUGUUAAUCUGUCCUAAUUUCUAGAAUGACUUAUAGGACGGAGCAGUGACUAAGACUUUAGAAACUUACUCCCUCCAUUAGUUUAGUAGUUUAUGAUGUACGCAUUUGCUCGAAAAAAACAUUCUGGUUUGAUCUGCGCAUUCGCUGGGGACGCCAAACCUCUACUCGAGUUCUUCUCACGUGGGAAUGUGGCUGGAACUAUGGCCUACGACUCCUUUAGCUAAGUGUCCUCGGCAAAGAGUUUUUCUCAUGUUGCCACAGGCAAGUGAUGCUGAUUAGGCAUGCACACGCACACGGGGCUUCAUUGUUGAUUUGCACAAUAGCCGAUGUAACCACGUAAGGCUUGAUUGACAAAUGUUGUGGGGACAUUUGAAUUAAAUUGAUGAUGUGAAUAUAUAUUAAAUGCAUAGGAUUUCCCUGUUGGUCUACACCGUCAGGAACCUGACUGAUCAGUUGUAUCCUGACGGGAGGCUGCUGGGGAAACAUGUUUAUUCCUAUCGGUGUAUGAUUCUUGACGGUAAUUCAUGUCAGUUGUUGUAACAGUAGCUCGAUCUGACCGGUCGACUCCUCCCGUCAGGAACUACCAACGGGAAUUGUUUCCUGUCGGACAACCGUCACGAAUAGGAAUAGUAGGGCUACGUGCGCUUCGGCCUAUCAGCCACCAAACAGUAUUUUUCUCUCACAACAAAUCAGUCGUUUCAGCUUUUCAACCGGCUUAUAAGUCGAGCCGAACAGGCUGUAGGUAUUUCCUGAGUAGCUGUCUCUAUCCCUGACGGUUUUUGGACUGUCCUGACGUGUGGAACCUCGUUCCCUGUGGUAGUGUAAUAGACUUAUGCAAUUAUGCAAGAGGUUGGGAAAAUAAAAUAAGAGGAACAAAGAUAGCAUUUAUAUAUAGUAAAAAAAUAACAAAUUUAGCCUUUGCUACCAACUUGGUAGUUCUAAUAAGUUGUUUUCUUUUAGCAAAAUGCUACGUUUUAAUGAGUUGUUUUCUUCAUAGUCACGGUUGUUGAAUUUGGAGGCCCGUUAACAAAUCCGGGCUGUGAGGCCCAUCCUGGCCCAAAUAUGAGGGGGAAGUGAAGCCCAGAUUUGUCGUAUCUAUCGGCCUUUCUGCAUCGCUGUUUGCCGUGGGCCGUAAAGCGCGGCACAUGACAGACCAAGGCCCGCCCCGCCCCGCAGGCCGCGGUACCGCACCCACCCGAGCGUUCGUUCGUUCCCUUGACGAUUUUGCUUGCGCGACCGACUCUAUCCUCGCUUCUCGGAAUGGCGUCGGCGACCGAUGGAGUGCGAGAUGACGGCGCGGACCCUUUCGUGGCGUACUGGCGUGCUGCAGAGAGCAGUGCCUGCGGCAGACGACGACCUACCGCACGUGCUGGCGCACCAUCAGUGUUGGUCAAAAGUCACAGGUGGUGAAAGUUUUCGUAUGCCCACUUGUUCGCUUUGAUCGGGUCCCACGACGAAAACGGGGCGAUUUUACUAUCCACAACAUGGGCUUUAGCAGCUAGCAGGUAUGCGAUGUGCAUGCCCAUUCGUCGUCUCGUCUCUAUCUGACCUUGACUCUGGAUGCGCAACGGACAACAUGGCGACACCGAGAGAACGAAAAGCUUGCCCUUUUAUAGCUUUCUAAUCGCCGCUGCCAUUUUAUAUUUUUAUCCCUGCGUUAUUACUGUGGAACUUCUUUAAACUUUUAGCCUGUGAUGAACCGCUGAUGGCUGAGAAGAAUAAUGGAAGACGCAAGCCCUCAGGUCAAACCUGGCCGCGAGCUUGUGCUUUGUGGGCCCCAACUGAUGCUUUCCCACUAUUGCGCUGUACGGUCAUGAACUUUGUGGGUUCUAGAUUAUCUGCAAAGGAAAAAUCUCUGUCCAGCUUGCCCAACGUUUGUCGCCCUGGCUAUUAUAGUGCGAUUAUUUUUUUAAUUGUAUAUACUCUCCUUUUUCCUGCUAUCUGACUGCGGUUCUUCUCAGAGAAACGAGUUCCUGUCCACAAACUGGAAAAAAAAAAGGGAAAAGAUGAAAAUGACUAAAAACAGGAGGAGAGCUUGAGAGUAUGCACCUCAGUCUCACGAAAAUUUCAAUCUAGCUCCCACAUAUGAAGGUUUUUCGAGAACGUGGGGUAUAUGAACUUUAUUUCUUGAAAACUUAAAAACAACCAAUUUAAAUAGUGCCACAGAAGUUAUCCACAGUGCUCGAUUUUAAUAGGGAGACAAAUAUAGCAUACGUAGAUUCCCAUAGAGGAAAAAAUAACAGAGAACUCUAAGUGGAAAAUACCCUGUGUUGAAAAGGAAAGGAAAGUGCCAGGAUAAAGGAAGAAAAGGUACGAAUAAAAUCAACUUAUAUGCGGUAAGCCAGUCCUUUAUCUAAAAAAAAUGCAAUCAAGCCAUGACGCGAAGGCAAGAAUUGAAAUCAAAAGGCAUCACGCGUAUUUUCGAUUGAUUGAGAGAAAAUCCGAAUCAGCAUAUGUAUGCCAAGAACAGAACUGAAAAGACAAAUUCGGUACGACGAGAUCCAAGAUCUUUUCUUUAUUUUUUUUGGACCAAAAGGCACUUUGGCCCUGAUUUUUAUUGAAAUCAAGAGAUCCCAUUCGCUGCCUUACAAAGUUCUCGGACCUGGGAAUCACAAGUGAACCGUCCAGAAAAUACACCUCUGAAUGCUACCUGAUACUCUAAAACUCUACCAGAAGAUUCAGUACAACAUCUCGAAAACAUAGCUGUUCCCUCUUGAGCUCAGACGCUGAUGAGCUAGUAAACGGGGCAGAGAACAUGGAGGACUACUAGAACGCCUACCAGUCUUGGCUACUACAUGUUGCAGGAGGGCCGUGGGGUGAAGAGAUCAGUUCUUACUAUUUGUUGAGGCACCGGACGUCGUCGGCGCCGCCGAGGUAUCAGUCGACGACGAAACCCAUCACAACUCCGGCGAGCAGAGCCGCCGUCGUUGCUGCUGCGAGCGUCGCCUUCGCGAGACGGUCCAGCUCGGCUGCGCCUGCUGCGGCCGGGUUCGCGCGGCUGAGCGCGCGAACGUGCGCGACCAGGAGCAGCAGAGUGAGCCCGAUGGUGGCCAGCACGGCCGGGAGCAAGGCGCUCGCCGCGGCCCGAGCGAAGGCACUCGCCGAGGUCUGGAACUGGAUCUUGGCGGCGGUUUCGAGGGGUUCGAUGCAGACGAAGACGGCUGCGAAGCCGAGGAGAAUGGUAAGCGUGGUGGGGGAAGCCAUGGCGGAGCUUUGGCGCAGUGGCUUCCCUUUUUGGACUCAAGAGAGGAAGAGGAGAUGGCUUGUUAAUGAAUCUUUGCCUCUCCAAUGUCAGAUGGGUGAUCUUAUAGGCUCCUGGCUGACAAUGAUUGGCUGGCUCAUGGGGCCAACCCAUGGCCCAUGGCCGGCUCAUUUCGAGCACACUUAUUUAGCCAACUUAUCAGUCAUCAAAUAGUAUUUUAUUCUCAUAAUAAAUCAGACGUUUCAAUUUUUCAACCAAGCUGAAGCGAACAGCCCCCAUCUCCAAAGCAGGGACGAAGGACACGUAUGCACUCGAGGGGAGGAAAAAGCCUGAUUCAUCCUGAGGGACACAAAAAUCAAGAACCAUUCAGGUGCUCCACCAUACUCCCAUACUCCACAUCAAAAUAAUCCACCAAAACAUGCACGAAAAAUUCAAUCGAAAAUAUGGGUAGAUGCACGAUGUAAUGAUGCAUGUUCAUGCAAAAUUUGAAGCUGAACAAAAUUUUGUGCAAGGAGAAAAAAAACAAAAUCAGAUGAAUAGGUGCGGGUUGUGGCUCCAAACGAACAGUACAUCCAAUCCGAUUAAAAGCUGAAAAGUCUUUUUUUGUUUCUCCUUAUUUUGCAUGAACAAAUUUUCGAUUAAAAGCUGAACAAAUUUUGCAUGAACAUGCAUCAUUUUGUAUCGUGUAUCUACCCAUAUUUUCGAUUGAAUUUUUCGUUGCAUGUUUUGGUGGAUUAUUUUGAUGUGGAGUACGGGAGUACCUUAAGGUGGUGUUCUCCACGAAAAUCCUGACCGAAUCCAAAGCACUACCGAUGCAUGGGGGCCCUCUGAAUUAUGAAUCCCGAGCCAAAAGGGAAAGGGGGCCUUUGCUUAGAUGGAACCCGUUGGUUCUUUGUGGUGUGUGGAGGAUAUAAAUCCACGAGGCAGGAUAUGAAAAAGUUCCUUUUUUUUUUCUUCAUGAAGAAAUUGUCCAAUGACAAGCGAUCAGUUGGCGUCAGAUUCCUCUGGCCUAAUCACCCCAUCCUAAUCCUCAUGGUCAAUCCGACCCAGAACUAUCUUAUUCGACGUGCCUGUGCGCAACCUUGGCGGGGUGGGGUAUUUUGGUCUAGUGAAAGAGAGUGGAGUGGGGUGGAGGACAGCCAGGCAAGGACGCAAAGCGCAGACCAUUCACGCGCUGAAAUCAGCACUCGAGUCUUUGCUUAUUUGUCUAUCCAUCGAUCCAUCCUGGCAGUGUUUUAUAUUGUCGGAAGAGCCAGUCACGUAGCCCACAUGUCCAUCCCUGCAGUGUUGUAAUAACCUGAUUGUCCUAAACAAACUAGAUGAAGGCUCCAUUUACAAAUGGUGGAGCGAGGGUAGAGCCAAGAUCGACGAAUCCCGGAGUAGGCCCCUAUACAGCAAGCAAAUUGCAGCUGAAUCACCAUCCCUGAUCACUUUGCCUGCAAACCAGAAACGGAUUCAAUAAACCGCGACUGAAAGGGUACUUUUCCCUUUAUGCCUUGGUCGUCAGCCGACCUUCUUCUUCUUUUUCGAAUGGUCGUUAGCUGACCUGGAUUCGUUCCUUCCCCCAACCUUUAUCAUAUUGAUCUUCGUGUUCAUCAAGGCAAUCCAAAUGCGCGCCGGCCGGAGACGGGCGACGGGAGCGUUUGUCAAUCGUCAAACCACGAAACCGUCCGGCGAAUCAGAUCAGCUCUGGACCUUAUCCUAAACGCAGCAGAUAAGGGAUUCCCUCACCUAAUCCCGACCGAUAGCAACGCAGCGAAGGCUUCUCAGAGUUCCAUAACAGUGAUGGAAUGAUUCGCCAUUGCUCCGGCGCAAGUUCAGCGAAUUUUCGUUGAAGGAAAAUAAACUACACCCGACGGCCUCAAGAAUGCUCCCGGAAACUUCCCACCGUUCAAUUUCCGCUCAUUCAGCUUGGUCGAUGCACCGUACCUGUCCCUCGUGCAUGUCCGAUCCUGUUCAACGGAAGCUGCGAUCGGCACACUAUAUAAUCCCCACAAUGGCAUGGCCUCUAGGUUCGACAUACUCACUCGCCGACACAACCAUAGAGUCAAGCUAAGAUGUGCCCAUGGCGUCUGGCUCCUCGCUACUUGCUCGCUCCAAAGCAUGCCAUCUCAGUUACGGCCGGCAGGUCUCACGAGCUCAGGAGCCUACGAGGAUCAUCUAGUUCACAGCCAUCAGGUGCCAGAACCCUGGAGCGCUUGGAUUGGUGAUCCCAUCGGUGCGCGUCUGCUCAGUAAUUCAUCAAGGAUCCUGAAGCCUGCAGUCAGCGGGGAUGAUCAUGGAAAAGGUGAAGCAACGAAUAUGGUUUGGGACGGAGUCAGCGUCGUCGUCGUGUUCAGCUAGGGCCAUCGAGCGUGCAGGCGUGCAGUGCUUGCCAGGACAGGCAAGAAUGGCGCAGCGUACAGCGUUUCCGUUUGUCGGGGAAGCUGCACAGCAAGUAUGAUCAAGUCCAUGGCUCAAUUUAUUAAGGGAAUAAAGGAGGCAGCACGUUAAUUAUCAAUGAGAAAAUUCUAGUGAAGUUUGGUACGCCAAGGCCCAAGGGUGUCCUCGACGCAUCGAUACAGAUAGCGCUGGAAAAGAAUUCAAACCUCCCUCGGAUGACGAACAUGCCAUUGCCACCACACAUAGCCCGUGAAGCUCGCAUGUCCUCACCCUGGUGUCCGAAUCCUUGCUAUAUAUACGCAUGCGCGCGCGUCUCAGUUCCACCACCACCAUCACGAACAACUAAUCAACCGCGCAACAAGUUAAGGAAGAAGAAGAUAGCAGCAGCAGUAGCUAUGGCCGGCCAGCAGAGCACGAGGAUGGUGGCGAUGCUCCUUGCCGCCCUCGUGGUGGUGGCGGCGUCCCUACCCGCGGCCACCGCCUACGGCUGCUACGACGACUGCUACGAGCGGUGCGCCAACGGCAAGGUGGACCCCGCCUGCACCAAGAUGUGCAACCAGGCGUGUGGCCCCGACGGUGGUGCCACCGCCGCCGCUGGUGGCGCUGCCGCCGCGCCCACAGCUUGAUCAUCAUCAUAUCUGCUGCCGCCUGCAUGCGUCCACACCAUCUGUUUAGGAUAUGAUUCGUCAUCGCCCAGCAACGCCCUGCUAUUAUUACUAGUUUCCUUAUUCAUGGAUCUUGUCGUCAUUCCUUUCUCGAUCCCACUAUUGAUUUCCUAUUUUUCUUCUUAUAUUUCUUUCUUUGUUCAUUCAUGUGUUCCCAUCCAUCCAUAAGUCGUUUCAUUACUCGUGCAAUUUGCCAGUGAAUGCAUACUUUCUACAUGA